GGGUAUUUUACAGAAACCUGGCCAAAAUCGGAGGCCCCCGGUUGGGGGCAGAGACUAGAGAAGUAGGCAGAGUGGCUCAGAGGGCACGAGACUGACUGGGGCCUGGGAUUGAUGGAACCGUGGGAGGAAAGGGUUAAUGGGCUACUGGUGUCGGCUCCGCUCAGGCGGAGGUGCCUGGCAGACAUUCCCUGAGGUCACAUGGGAGAAAUUUCCAGGAAGAUACUUAAGGCCUUCAGAGUGAGUUCCCUUAAGUGAGUACCUCUGCCGAGACCUGUCCUGGGGUAGUGAGAGCAGAUGGUUGGAGCCCAGCUGGGGGGUGCCCAGGCCCCAGAGGGAGAAGUGUGGGCUCACCAGGACCUCCCCACAUCAGCCUCCUCUGUCAUCCAUGGAAGAUCCCUGCCAGUCCAAGGCCAAGGCUGUUUCCUGUCCAUUCACUCCACCGGGCCCCCUCCGCCCUCCGGCAAGCGCCCUACGGAGCCAUGUUGGACGGGGAGGAAUGGAUUCCCGCCCCAGACCCCUGUGGAUCCAGAAGACCAGGACAGAGACCGAGGGGAGCACCUGCAGCGCGUGAGAGCCAGAGGGGGCCUUGGGAUCACCCGGUGCCGCCCUUGAUUCACGGAGGAAGGAAGGCGAGGCCGAGAAAGCAGGAAGGGACUCCGUUAACCGAUGGCAAUUUCGAGCCAGGAGGCCCACGGUUCCUGAAGGAAGACCUCGUUCAAGGUGGGCCAGGCAGACUACCAUGUCUCUUCCUCCUGGAAGUCCCUACAGCCACUGGUUUCCCCGACUGCCUCAAUCAUGUGACCUGGCUCUCACCCUGGAGGGUGCCAUGAGUUCUUCAGAGAAGAAAGGCCAUUUGGAUUUCUGCUUCCAGACCCUUCCACCCUGCAUACCUUCUGCCUCCUGACCCCAUUCAUUCAUUCAUUCAUUCCACAAAGUAUUUGGGGGCGUGCUCGGGGCCAGGUGUGACAGGUGUGGCUUUGCUGGCUGGUGAGCCCGGUGCGAACCCCAGAGGCUUCCCCUCCGUUCGGCUGCCCCUUGGGAAGCAGACUGCAACUGCAGGGUGGGCAGACCUGGGCCCCACCGACUCCGAGUACCUUGCCCUCCCACGCCGGCCCCCAAGCUGGCCUGGGUCAGGAUCGACUCUGUCUGUGCUCUCCACGAGACGGGCACCCCUUUCCCCAUCCCAGCCCUGUAGCCAACAGUGUUUCAACAUUCCAUGGGCUUUCCGAGGAAAUGAGAGGACCCUCUCCCUUCAGGCCCAGACCUCCCUGGGAGGGGUUUCCUGCCUCCUCGUGGGUGGGUCAGGGAGGAUGGGAAGAGAGGAAGAGGGGAGAAUUAGGUUAGAAUCUCUCCUCUGUCUCCUCUGGCAUUUUAGAACAACUGAUUGAAGCCUGAAGUUUCGGCGUACUCACUGGGAUGGUGUUCAGUUUCUCAAUUUAACAAAUAUUCUUUGAUUUGUUUGUAGCCAGGAUUUGGCUAUUUCUAAGGGUUUCCAGCAUUUUGGGGGCUGUCUAGCGGCUUCGCUGGAAACAACGUACCGAUCUCUUUCAUGUCUGUGGUUUCUACAAUCGCUGCUCACAAAUCCUGGUUUCUGGAAGGUCCAGGAUUAGGAAGGAGAUGAGGAAGCAGACAGCCUUACCCCGGCCCUUCCACUGUCCCGUGGCCUCACUAGCCUCUCUGAGAUUCAGUUUCCCUACCUGUGCAGCAAGGGUUGCCCUGGCUGACUUCUGAAGCUUCCGGAAGCUCUGACAUCUGCGUGUGGGUCCUUGCUGGGGUGCCUGGAUGUCUCUCCUGGCCCCCAGCUUCCAAUUCUUCGUUUUCCACACCCACUUCGGUCUGCGUGUGGGCCCUUCUCUGUUCCUAUUUCUUCUGUCCUCACAGGUCACCUGAUGUCUCAUCCCAGGGAAGAAGGUUUUGCUUCCUCUUGGGGGCUCCUGGUGGGGUAUCUCACUAACUUCUCUUGUGGAUACCAGAAGCAGCUGCCUGAAUGAUGUGCCACCCCAAGAGGCCAAGGGGAGGCCUCUCUGCCCUAAAUUUCUCCCCUGUGGGCCUGCCAGCAGGCUGAAAUUCCCAUACCCCAUGCUCAGCUGAGAUGUCGUGGGCUUCCAAUAAAAACCACAGAAUCCUUGAA